rnacentral:rRNA from 1 species
GACAGAGGGGGCGAGCGUUGUCCGGAGUCACUGGGCGUAAAGCGCGCGCAGGCGGUCGCCAAAGCGUCGUGUGAAAGCCCCCGGCGCAACCGGGGGAGGCCAUGGCAAACUCGGCUACUGGAGCGGCGGAGAGGCCCCCCGAAUUGCCGGUGUGGCGGUGAAAUGCGUAGAGAUCGGCAGGAAGACCAAGGGGGAAGCCAGGGGGCUGGCCGCUGGCUGCCGCUGAGGCGCGACAGCGUGGGGAGCGCACCGG